AAUUUCAGGAACGUAUGUAUCCUGUCCAAUAUGCAUUCACGGCGUCUGUGAUCCUUCCAGAAGUCACUCCUCUUGUACAGGAUGUGUUUAUCAUGAGGAUCAUAAAACCACAACGUGUAUAAAGCUCGGGCAUGAACAAGAAUGUAAAGACACGGAUAAACAGAUUUGCUGCCUCACUGACGAGUGUAUAACAAAAUGGUUUGGAGUUGUGGUGAAUACUAUCGACCAAGGAAGCAGUUCACUACAAAACCUUAUUUUCUGUCCAAGUUGUGAUCACAAUGGUAAAUGCCACUACUCGCUUUGUGAUA